AUUUUUAUUUUAUUUAAAUAUGGAAGUUAAUAACAUUGAUAUUAAAUUGUACUGAACAAUGCUCAUUUGCCUCUACAGAAAGUUAUAGUUGCUCUCUUCGCCAUCCGAGGUUAUGAUGAGAAGCCAGAGGUUGCUCUGCCAAGUCGACUAAAUUAUAAAGUGACUGGGACAGAGAGUGCAUUGAAAAAGAAGAUCCAGGAAUCCAAGAGCGGCCGCUUUUUAGAGAAGGACAAACGCCUUCUGGAAGAGCUGAAGAGCCUGCACUGUGACCCACACCCAUUCUGCACUGUUUUGCCUUCAGAGUCAGACUUUACAUUUUUGGAAGAUUCUCAUGCAAGGCCCUCCUGAUACACCUUAUGAGGAUGGAGUCUUUGAGUUGUACUGUCAGUUUGGGGCUGACUACCCCGUCAAACCUCCACUUGUGCGC